rnacentral:rRNA from 1 species
UACGUAGGCAGCAAGCGUUGUUCGGAGUUACUGGGCGUAAAGGGUGUGUAGGCGGUUGUUUUAAGUUUGGUGUGAAAUCUCCCGGCUCAACCGGGAGGGUGCGCCGAAUACUGAGUGACUAGAGUGCGGGAGAGGAAAGUGGAAUUCCUGGUGGUAGCGGUGAAAUGCGUAGAUAUCAGGAGGAACACCGGUGGUGUAGACGGCUUUCUGGACCGUAACUGACGCUGAGACACGAAGCGUGGGUAGCAAACAGG